GACGAACGCUGGCGGCGUGCUUAACACAUGCAAGUCGAGCGGAGCGGCGAACGGGUGAGUAACGCGUGAGUAACUGCCCCCCUCCCUGGGAUAACAGUUGGAAACGGCUGCUAAUACCGGAUAGUGGGGGAUGACUCGCGUCCUAUCAGAUUGUUGGUGGGGUAGUGGCCUACCAAGGCGACGACGGGUAGCCGGCCUGGGAGGUCGACCGGCCACAUUGCGCUGAGAGACGUCCCAAACUCCUACGGGAGGCAGCAGGUGGGAGUAUUGCACAAUGGGGGAAACCCUGAUACAGCAACGCCGCGGGCGUAAUGACGGCCUUCGGGUUGUAAACCGCGUUCAGCCAUGACGCGGUAGUGGCAGAAGAAGCACCGGCUAACUACGUGCCAGCAGCCGCGGUAAUUC
rnacentral:rRNA from 1 species